rnacentral:lncRNA from 7 species
AGAGUGGGAAUGUGUGGCAUCUUCUGUUACAUCUCAGUCGUGGAAGACUGAAGGAAUGAGCAUAUGGGUUACAUGGAAUGCAAAACGUGUCCUACAAGACACUUCAGACUGAUCCUUAUGUUGGCAACAGUUGUGCUUCUGGAGCUUUACGUAAGAUUUUGGUAUCCUGAGCCCACAUCCCUCAAUGCCCUGAAGGAUAAUUUCUUUGAGUAUGAACUCUGACAGCCUUCAUCAAGCAGUAUAGAGAUGGUUUGGGGUCUCUGAUUAGCCUGAUUGACUCCCCCAGAUGUGUUGGUUUCUCCUUUGAAGGUCCAGCAGCUCUCUGUGUCACUGAUGGUGCCUGUUGUGAUUGACUGUUUCAGUGUACUGAAGAGUCUGGCAGACAUAUAGUUACUGGAGCUGGCAAGCCCCAGCUAGAAAUUUGUCUUACGGAUCUGGAAGAAGAUCAUGCUUUACUCCAAUUAAGGUAUUCAAGAAUUUUUGAGGACUGCAGUAUAUGGAAUAUGACUAGAUACUAACCUUUGAAAAUGUAAAAUCUGCUGUUGCUGGUUUUCUUAGAGCAACUUCCUUAAAACAAUUUGAAACUUCAAAAGAGCACAACUGUAUAAGUAGUAACAGGAAUUCUUUAUUUUAUGAAUGAAAGAGCUUAGAAUUAGGAUGUGGAUUUGAAGAUGCAGCCAACACGAAAACUAACUAGAAACAAUGAUGGCAACCACAGAUGUGCUGGUGGAAAAGUUGUUUCUCUUGUUGGAGUUAGUAGAGCAUGUCUGCGCAACCAAGAACACAUGGAGAGGAGAACACAAGAGAUAACACUUUUUUUUGUCACUGACAUACC